rnacentral:antisense_RNA from 1 species
UGUGGGAGCGGGCUUGCCCGCGAUAGCGGUAUGUCAAUCAGCACAUCUGUGGCUGAGACACCGCAAUCGCGGGCAAGCCCGCUCCCACA